rnacentral:lncRNA from 1 species
CGUCGACGGAGGCUUUCAUGACUUCAACGUUCGGAUUAUAGAUGCUGCAUGCUCUCCUCUCGAUGUGUUGUAAGAAAGAAAAGUCGAUGGGAUCGAUAUCCGGAUUGUAUGGUGUCAGCAUUCUCUUGUUCAGAAAGCGAUGUUAUUAGUAUUUGAAGCAAACAAUUUGGAAAUUAGUUGACUCUGAGCAGAGGUAUGUUCCACUGAAGUUCCCCAACAGACCCUCGUGAUCCCACAAGCCUACAAUUUCAGACAUAGUAUUUUUUGUUAGGAAAUGCACCUUGGCCAAAAAUUAAGCAAAUUAAUACAGGUCCUAUCAUGUAAGGCCAUAGUUUCUGGACACAAAUUCUACUCUGAGUUUAUCAAGGACUUACAAUUAUAACUCAGCAGCAAAUCCUAAAGGUUACUCUCCAUCUUUUAUGAGCUCAGACAAAUGUUCUAUCAUUUUUAAAUACAAUUGAAUCUAUUAGGAAAUGAAGUUCACUAGCCAUGUAUCAGAUGUAACAAUUUCAACAAAAAACAAAAACGGGAAAACGUGGUUCACCAAAGAUAGUUAUUUUUUAUUUAUUUAUUACUUAUUUCUUAAUUAAUAAUGGUGUAGGAGUGUUCUGCUCCUGGAUGCAAGCAGGGCUAUGAUGGCAUAACUAAGGAUCCGGAUGUGAGCUUUCACAAAUUCCCCAUGAAGGACUCCAAAAUUAUAACUAAAUGGCUUAGGGCCAUCCCAAGAUAUUAUUUACCAGACACCAACAGCAAAUUCAAGACCAUGCAGUCGGCAUGUUAAAGUGAUGGAUUUUAUUCCUGAAUCUUUAGAUCAAUCCCGUGAUAAAGGAAAAUCACUCAAACGAAGGCAGUUGAAAGAGGAAGCAAGCAAGCCAUCCCAUCAAAGUAGCCGAAUCUGGCAAGUUACCUCUCAUGCCCACCUCAAAGACCAACACGGGCAUCAACUAGCACCAAUAGAGUAGUGCAUUUGGAGAAUGAAAGACAAGAAGCUCUGGGGUGUGCAAUGUUUAUGGAAGAGAAUGCUCUUUCGGCAAAAGAUCUCUAACACAAACUCUCUUUGGAAUCAUUGUCCUCGGGGUUCUUGUUGCUUAAAACUCCAAAAGUUGCACUUGUUAAAAUAAUACAUUAAGAUAUGAAGGGUCUGUCACUGAAGCCCUCAACAUUUCCGCUUUUCUGGGUUCCACGGAGGGUCAGACAGAGAAAAAGACAUGUGAACAGCUUCUUAAUUUUUCUAACUCGCUAUCAUAAUGGAGCAAAUGUAUCAUCUCUUCAAUCAGCCUAAAGGUACAAGAUAUUCUUCUGGACUCCUUUCCGUUGCUUUGAUAUGGUACACUGCCAGUUCUGACAUCUACGAGAAAAUAUAUACGUCCAAUUUGCUCUGUAACUUCCGUCUCCCAGAUAUCGAAGGACCGUAUCCAUUGUGAUAAAGGUAGGAACAGGAUUACCUUCAUCUACAGUUGUUGCACUGGCUAUCAAUUACAACUUCAAGCAUUUCAUUUUUUAAUUUUGAUGUAUGGCAAACUUGAUUUUUAUGAUUCUCUAUUUUGAGCUUGACAAAAAAAUUUAAUUGAUGGAACAACACUCUUUAAAUCUACAGACUAUGUAUAAGAUAUUCCCUUUUACACCUGUAAUACAUUAUUUUUGUUAGAGGCUCGCUCCUUGGGAAUGCGAUAGCAUUUAUAUUCCUUAUCUUCAUUCAGAAGGGAAAACACUUAAUUUAGUCCCCAUAAAUACCAAAUUGUGUAUAAAGUGAUUAUUCUACAAAGAAUAUUCAUCAAUAUUGUAGUCAACUUUUAGUGACAAUGUAACUUUGAUUGACUGCAUCCAAUUCAUUUAUGAAUAUAUUCAAUAUAUUUUCUUUAGUUAGGAAUAAAAAUUAUUUUUUAAACACUAGGUAUAUUUUUGUCAUAAAAAAGUCAUCAAAAUAGUGGAGAUAUAAGUAAUAUAUUAAGGAUGAUUGGAUAUUAUGUAAUAAAUAUGAAAUGAUCAUGUGAAACACAAACUAAUAACAAGAUCUUAUUUUUUCAAUGAUCCUGAAUAUAAUAAAUAUAGAGUCAACAUAAGUGAAUAUUAUGUCUUAAGUACGUCUUGGGAUUUUGACAAUUAUUUCUUUAGAGAUAUAUAGUUAUGCAAAUAUUUAAAUGAUAGUCAGGAAAUAAAAUUUUCUAUAUUCAUAUUGCUUGAACAGUUGGUAACUGUUCAGACCAAUAUAAUAGUUCUAGAACUGAUAAAUGUAAUAAAUUUUGAUAACUCGCAUGUCUACAAUUAGAAUAAUUAAAUUGCAUUUUUCUAUCGAAAUAAAUUUUGAAAAAAUCUAUAAGAUACAAAAAUAAAAUAUCAGAUCCCUCAAAUAUAGGGAAUUAAAGUUUAAGGAAAUUCUUUUAUGUUUUUAUUUAUUUGUCCAACCAAAUUGUAUUGAUAAUUUUUUUACGUUUUAAAUAUUAUUUUCAAUAAAACACAUAGUACAUACUA